CCAAAAAUCGUGAAUUCUUAAGUAGAGAGUCAACACUAAAAAGACACUCUUCAUCAGGUGGCAGCUCUACUAUGAGAACAUUGUGACCCCUCGAUUUCAAACAGUGCAGAACCCUAUGUAACUCGCUACCUGGAUCAAUAUUUGGUUUGACGACUACGGCUAAAUUUGCAAGUAUUGGUGCAGUCUCUCGUAAUACAGAGAGCAUAUAAAAAGUCAUAUCCAGAGUAGGCCUAGUUCCAAAUUUGCGGAAUUUACUAUAGGGUAAGUAGAAAAUUCUUCCGGCCUUAAACAAGGCUUCUUCGUUGGAGUUGAGUUUCUUACAAUCCACAUUGAUGCUCAUUCUCCCCUCAAAGCCCAUUUGGUGAAGAGCAUGUUCGAAAUUAUCAACAAUAGAACCAAGAUCGGUAUCCACAGGGACUGGGCAAUCAUCAAAGUUCCAGCAAACGAAUGUCUCAUUCACUUUCACACAC